rnacentral:misc_RNA from 1 species
AAAUGCGAUAAGUAGUGUGAAUUGCAGAAUUCAGUGAAUCAUCGAAUCUUUGAACGCACAUUGCGCCCCUUGGUAUUCCAUGGGGCAUGCCUGUUCGAGCGUCAUUUGUACCCUCAAGCUCUGCUUGGUGUUGGGUGUUUGUCCCGUCUCCGCGCGUGGACUCGCCCCAAAGUGAUUGGCAGCCGGCGUACUGGUCCCGGAGCGCAGCACAUGUCGCGCAAACGAGUGCCUUGGUACGGCGGCGUCCAUAAGCCCCUCUCUCACGCUCUUGACCUCGAAUCAGGUAGGAAUACCCGCUGAACUUAAGC